rnacentral:tRNA from 1 species
GGGCAGUUAGCUCAGGGGGAGAGCGCUUCCUUGACACGGAAGAGGUCGUUGGUUCGAUUCCAAUACUGCCCA